UGGCGGACGGGUGAGUAAUGUCUGGGAAACUGCCUGAUGGAGGGGGAUAACUACUGGAAACGGUAGCUAAUACCGCAUAACGUCGCAAGACCAAAGAGGGGGACCUUCGGGCCUCUUGCCAUCGGAUGUGCCCAGAUGGGAUUAGCUAGUAGGUGGGGUAACGGCUCACCUAGGCGACGAUCCCUAGCUGGUCUGAGAGGAUAACCAGCCACACUGGAACUGAGACACGGUCCAGACUCCUACGGGAGGCAGCAUG
rnacentral:rRNA from 1 species